ACGCGUGGAACCUUACCAGGUCUUGACAUCCCGCUGACCGGUAUAGAGAUAUACCUUUCCCUUCGGGGACAGCGGUGACAGGUGGUGCAUGGUUGUCGUCAGCUCGUGUCGUGAGAUGUUGGGUUAAGUCCCGCAACGAGCGCAACCCUUGUUCUUAGUUGCCAUCAUUUAGUUGGGCACUCUAAGGAGACUGCCGGUGACAAACCGGAGGAAGGUGGGGAUGACGUCAAAUCAUCAUGCCCCUUAUGACCUGGGCUACACACGUGCUACAAUGGACGGUACAAACGGUUGCCAACCCGCGAGGGGGAGCUAAUCCGAUAAAACCGUUCUCAGUUCGGAUUGUAGGCUGCAACUCGCCUACAUGAAGCCGGAAUCGCUAGUAAUCGCGGAUCAGCAUGCCGCGGUGAAUACGUUCCCGGGCCUUGCACUCACCGCCCGU
rnacentral:rRNA from 1 species